CCUACGGGCGGCAGCAGUGGGGAAUAUUGCGCAAUGGGCGAAAGCCUGACGCAGCGACGCCGCGUGAGGGAUGACUGCCCUAUGGGUUGUAAACUUCUUUUAUAAAGGAAUAAAACGAGGCACGUGUGCCUUUUUGCAUGUACUUUAUGAAUAAGGAUCGGCUAACUCCGUGCCAGCAGCCGCGGUAAUACGGAGGAUCCGAGCGUUAUCCGGAUUUAUUGGGUUUAAAGGGAGCGUAGAUGGGUUGUUAAGUCAGUUGUGAAAGUUUGCGGCUCAACCGUAAAAUUGCAAUUGAUACUGGCAGUCGUGAGUACAGUUGAGGUAAGCGGAAUUCGUGGUGUAGCGGUGAAAUGCUUAGAUAUCACGAAGAACCCCGAUUGCGAAGGCAGCAUACCGGCGCUCAACUGACGCUCAUGCACGAAAGUGUGGGUAUCGAACAGGAUUAGAUACCCGGGUAGUC
rnacentral:rRNA from 1 species